GACGAACGCUGGCGGCGUGCCUAAUACAUGCAAGUAGAACGCUGAAGAGAGGAGCUUGCUCUUCUUGGAUGAGUUGCGAACGGGUGAGUAACGCGUAGGUAACCUGCCUUGUAGCGGGGGAUAACUAUUGGAAACGAUAGCUAAUACCGCAUAACAAUGGAUGACACAUGUCAUUUAUUUGAAAGGGGCAAUUGCUCCACUACAAGAUGGACCUGCGUUGUAUUAGCUAGUAGGUGAGGUAAUGGCUCACCUAGGCGACGAUACAUAGCCGACCUGAGAGGGUGAUAGGCCACACUGGGACUGAGACACGGCCCAGACUCCUACGGGAGGCAGCAGUAGGGAAUCCUCGGCAAUGGGGGCAACCCUGACCGAGCAACGCCGCGUGAGUGAAGAAGGUUUUCGGAUCGUAAAGCUCUGUUGUAAGUCAAGAACGGGUGUGAGAGUGGAAAGUUCACACUGUGACGGUAGCUUACCAGAAAGGGACGGCUAACUACGUG
rnacentral:rRNA from 1 species